rnacentral:rRNA from 1 species
UACAUACUGUGCGAACGUUAUUCGGAUUCACUGGGCUUAAAGGGUGCGUAGGCGGCUUGUUAAGUAGGGUGUGAAAGCCCCCAGCUCAACUGGGGAACUGCACUCUAUACUGGCGAGCUAGAGUGAGAUAGGGGUGUGUGGAACUGCCAGUGGAGCGGUGAAAUGUGUUGAUAUUGGCAGGAACGCCGGUGGCGAAAGCGACACACUGGGUCUCAACUGACGCUGAGGCACGAAAGCCAGGGGAGCGAACGGG